ensembl:snRNA
AACCAUCCUUUCUUGGGAUUGCACUACUACCGUCCAAUGACCACAUAGCGAGGGCAGUACUGCUAAUACCCACACAACACACCCGCCUCAACUCCAGCUUUGCUUAACAUUGGUGCAAUUUUUGGAAAA